GACGAACGCUGGCAGCGUGCUUAACACAUGCAAGUCGAACGGAAAGGCCCUGCUUUUGUGGGGUGCUCGAGUGGCGAACGGGUGAGUAACACGUGAGUAACCUGCCCUUGACUUUGGGAUAACUUCAGGAAACUGGGGCUAAUACCGGAUAGGAGCUCCUGCUGCAUGGUGGGGGUUGGAAAGUUUCGGCGGUUGGGGAUGGACUCGCGGCUUAUCAGCUUGUUGGUGGGGUAGUGGCUUACCAAGGCUUUGACGGGUAGCCGGCCUGAGAGGGUGACCGGCCACAUUGGGACUGAGAUACGGCCCAGAUUCCUACGGGAGGCAGCAGUGGGGAAUAUUGCACAAUGGGCGGAAGCCUGAUGCAGCAACGCCGCGUGCGGGAUGACGGCCUUCGGGUUGUAAACCGCUUUCGCCUGUGACGAAGCGUGAGUGACGGUAAUGGGUAAAGAAGCACCGGCUAACUACGUG
rnacentral:rRNA from 1 species